AUACGUAGGUGGCAAGCGUUAUCCGGAAUUAUUGGGCGUAAAGAGUGAGCAGGCGGUUAAUUAAGUCUGAGGUUAAAUCGUGGGGCUCAACCCCAUUCUGCCGUUGAUACUGGGUGGCUUGAUUGCGGUCGAGGUUGGCGGAAUUCGUUGUGUAGCGGUGAAAGGCAUAGAUAUGACGAAGAACACCGAUUGCGUAGGCAGCUGACCAGAUCGCAAAUGACGCUCAUGCACGAAAGUGCGGGGAUCGAACAGGAUUAGAUACCCUGGUAGUCCGCACAGUAAACGAUGAAUACUUGUUUUCGGCGAUAUAAUGUCGGAGGCAAAGCGAAAGCGAUAAGUAUUCCACCUGGGGAGUACGCCGGCAACGGUGAAACUCAAAUGAAUUGGCGGGG
rnacentral:rRNA from 1 species